GGGUGGCCUAGUGGUUAGAGCGACCGCCUAGGAUGCGGGAGAUCGCGGGUUCAAACCCCGGUUGAGUCA